rnacentral:rRNA from 1 species
UACGUAGGGUGCGAGCGUUGUCCGGAAUUAUUGGGCGUAAAGGGCUCGUAGGCGGUUUGUCGCGUCGGGAGUGAAAACUCAGGGCUUAACCCUGAGCCUGCUUCCGAUACGGGCGGACUAGAGGUAUGCAGGGGAGAACGGAAUUCCUGGUGUAGCGGUGAAAUGCGCAGAUAUCAGGAGGAACACCGGUGGCGAAGGCGGUUCUCUGGGCAUUACCUGACGCUGAGGAGCGAAAGUGUGGGGAGCGAACAGG